UUGAAAGAAUCCAUGGCAGGAGGAUCAGAAGUGGUUGAAGCUGCUUUAUCUUGUGCGAAAUGUGGCAAGCCUGCUCAUCUUCAGUGUCCUAAGUGCGUGGAGUUAAAGCUUCCUCGUGAAGGAGCUGCUUUCUGCACGCAGGACUGUUUUAAGGCAUCAUGGAGUUCUCACAAGUCUGUCCACUUGAAGGCAAAAUUAUCAUCUCUGGCAACUGAAAGUUUAGGUGAACAAAAUGCAGCCUCACCUAGUGAUGGUUGGCUUUAUUGCUUGAGGAAAGGACAGGCUCGAACACCAAAAAUUCCGCAUUUUGACUGGACUGGGACACUAAGGCCCUAUCCAAUAUCAGAAAAGCGUGUUGUACCUGCUCACAUUGAUCUACCUGAUUGGGCAAAUGACGGUAUCCCAAAAAUUGAACCCAGUAGUGAUUUGCAGCAUGUUGUUGAGAUCAAAACUCCAGAGCUGAUUGAGAGAAUGAGAGAAACUUGCCGAAUAGGAAGGGAGGUUUUGGAUGCAGCUGCUCGUAUGAUUAGACCUGGCGUGACUACUGAUGAAAUUGAUGCAGUGGUCCAUGAGGCUACUGUUGCUGCUGGUGGAUAUCCGUCUCCCCUAAAUUAUCAUUUUUUCCCCAAGUCAUGCUGCACGUCGGUCAAUGAAGUGAUCUGCCAUGGGAUUCCAGAUGCAAGG
rnacentral:misc_RNA from 1 species